rnacentral:rRNA from 1 species
AUCACACGGGCCGGCUUCACAUCGAUUGAGGAAUGGUGGCUCACCUCCAGGAAAGCGAUCCCUAAGCCAAUGAGACGAAACUUCUACACGGUCACCAUCAUAAUCCACGGACGGGUUUGGAAAGAGCGUAACACAAGGAUAUUUGGUGAGACGAUCAGUACUGCAGAGAGGGUCCUUGGUCUUAUUAGAGAGGACAUAGCGACCUAGCGUGCUGCUGGAAGCAUUGCUGACCUAGCAGCAUGA